GGUGAUGAUCAGUGUAUUCUGGGUCACCGAAUGAACAAACCAUCAAUUGAGUAUUUGAAGACUAAUCUGGACUGCACUCAUGUGGAGGGAAGUGAGUAUUUAUUCCCAUACUCUGAUCGUGCUAAUUUCGUGACUCCGGGUUACAUAGACUUCUGGCGUCAGCAACUUGAGCGUGUGUAUGAGUUUGCAAUGGAUGUCAAGUCCCCAGUUCGAGAGUUCCCUUCCUUUGACAUGAUCUCUGAUCGACCCAGGCUGAGAUAUCUUUCCAGUGGCGACAAAGGAAGACAUCUCCAAAUGCGACACAGGACGGCCGUGCUGUGAGAUUUCGAGUUGAUGUAAACUCUCCAAACCUUCAAGAAAGUCCUCAAGGAGGAGAAGGAAGGAGCAAGACAUCUCAUAGGGUGAUCUCGAACGAUAUACAGUCUCUUUCCGCUUCUUUCAAUUUUGCUCCAUCUGUUAUUGAUGGUCUUCGUUUUUCUCCUGGUCGAAUAAUUCAGGGA